AAAACUCACGAAAAUUUGCCUACCCCCCCAAUGUCAGGCAUAUGCGUACGUCCAUGUGUGAGACCCCCAAAAUACGUAAUUUUACACCUGACUUGGGGGGGUAGGCAAAUUUUCGUGAGUUUUCGGGGGUAUGGGCCGUCGAAAAGCGAUUUACUUAGGUCUGAAGAAAAAAAAAAAAAAAAAAAAAAAAAAAAAAAA